UACGUAGGCAGCGAGCGUUGUUCGGAAUUACUGGGCGUAAAGCGUGCGCAGGCGGUUUUGUAAGACUGUCGUGAAAUCCCCGGGCUCAACCUGGGAAUGGCGAUGGUGACUGCAAGGCUAGAGUUUGGCAGAGGGGGGUAGAAUUCCACGUGUAGCAGUGAAAUGCGUAGAUAUGUGGAGGAACACCGAUGGCGAAGGCAGCCCCCUGGGUCAAAACUGACGCUCAUGCACGAAAGCGUGGGGAGCAAACAGG
rnacentral:rRNA from 1 species